UAGGGUUUUGGGUUUAGGGUUUGAUGGUUUGAGAGGUAGGGGUUGGGUUUCGAGGUUUAGAGUUUUCGAGCUUUUGAGGUUGGGGGUUGGGGGUUGGGGUUUGAGGGUUGGAAGGUUUGCGGUUUGGGUUUCCAGGUUUGGACUUUUCGAGGUUUCGAGGUUGGUGGUUUUGGCUUCAGGGUUUCAGGUUCAAGGUUCGAGGUUCGAGGUUCGAGGUUUAGGGUUCAGGGUUAGGGGUAUUUAGGGUUUAGUGUUUAGGACUUUGGGUUCCAGUUUCGGGAUUGAGGUUUGGGGUUCGUGGUUUGAGGUUUGGGGUACUUUGGGGUGUAUGAUUUAGGGGUUAAAGUUUAGGAUUUAUGGUUUGCGAUUUCAGAUUUCUGGUUUAGGGUGCAUGGAUCGGUUCGGGGUUCGUGAUUUCGAGAUUCGGGGUGGAGUGUUUGGGGUUUAGGUUAGAGUUAUAGGGCUGGGUGUUAUUAGAUUCUGAGACGAUGACCAAUAUUAAACAAAGUUUGAUACCCAAAAUGCAUGUAAUUCGAAUCAUAAUAAAAAACUCAAUAUUUCAAACUAAUCCAUGAAUAUUCCCUAAAUAAUAGAAAUUUUUAUCUCCACCAACAAAGUUUGAAGUUAGGAUUACAGGUUUCGGAUUUCGGAUUUCGAGUUUUGAGGUUUAGGAGUUUAGGGGUUUAGAGGAUUUGGGAUUUACGGUUUCAAUUUUUGGGUUUAGGGUGCAUGAACUGGUUCGAGGUUCGUGAUUUUGGGCUUUGGGGUGGUGCGUUUGGGGUUUCAGGGUUUAGGGUUGAGGGUAGAGUUUUAAGGCUGUGUGUUAUUAGAUUUCGAGACGAUGACCAAUAUUAAUUAAAGUUUGAUACCCAAAAUGCAUGUAAUUCGAAUCAUAAUAAGAAACUUAAAAUUUCAAACCAAUCCAUAAUACAAAAUACAUAGAUAUUCCCUAAAUAAUAGAAAUUGUUAUCUCCACCAACAAAGUUUGAAGUUAGGAUUUCAGGUUUCAGAUUUUGAGUUUUGGCGUUUAGGGGUUUUGUGGUUGGGAGUUUGGAGGUUUGGGUGUUGGAAGGUUUAGGGGUUAAGGGUUGGAAGGUUUGAGAGGUUGGGGGUUGGGUUUCGAGGUUUAGACUUUUCGAGGUUUUGAGGUUUUGGGGUUUGGAGGUUUGGGUGUUGAGGGUUGGAAGGUUUUGGGUUUGGGUAUAGAGGUUUUGGGUUUCAAGGUUUAGACUUUUCGAGGUUUCGAAGUUUGUGGUUUUGGGAUUAUAGGUUUCACGUUCUGGGUUCAAGGUUCGGGGUUUGGGGUACUUUAGGGUUUAUUAUUUAGGAUUUUGGGUUUGGGUUUCGGGUUCGGGGUACUUUAGGUUUUACGGUUUAGGGGUUAAAAGUUUAGGAUUUAUGGUUUACGGUUUUAGGUUUUUAGGGGUUUAGGGUUUAGGGUUUUAGGUUUCGAGGUUUAAGGUGCAUGGAUUGGUUCAGUGUUCGUGAUUUUGGGAUUCAGGGUGGAGCGUUUGGGGUUUCAGGGUUUAGGGUUUAGGUUAGAGUUAUAGGGUUGUGUGUUAUUAGAUUCUGAGACGAUGACCAAUAUUAAUCAAAGUUUGAUACCCAAAAUGCAUGUAAUUCGAAUCAUAAUAAGAAACUAAAAAUUUCUAACCAAUCCAUAAUGCAAAAUGCAUAGAUACUCCCUAAAUAAUAGAAAUUGUUAUCUCCACCAACAAAGUUUGAAGUUAGGAUUACAGGUUUUAGAUAUCGAUUUUCAGGGUUUGGGGGUUUGGGGCUUGGAGGUUUGGGGGUUGGAAGGUUUGUGGGUUGGGUUUCGAGGUUUGUAGUUUUUGGGUUUUAGGUUUCGUUUCAGGGUUCAAGGUUGGAGGUUCGACGUUCAAGGUUCGGGGUUUGGGGUUUGAGGUUAAAGGUACUUUAGGGUUUAGUGUUUAGGAUUUUAGGGUUCGAGUUUCGAGAUUGGGGAUUGGGGUUUGGGGUUCAGGGUUCGUGGUUUGGGGUUCGGGGUUCGUGGUUUACGGUACUUUGGUUACUUUAGGGUUUAUGGUUUAAGGGUUAAAAUUUAGGAUUUAUGGUUUACGGUUUUAGGUUUUUAGGGGUUUUCAGGGUUUAGGGUGUAUGGAUCAGUUUGGAGUUCUUGAUUUCAGGUCUCAGGGUAGAGCGUUUCGGUUUUCAAGUUUCAGGUUUCGAGGUUUUUGGGUUUGGGGGUUGGGGGUUUGGAGGUUAGGGGUUUUAGGUUUCAAGGUUUAGACUUUUCGAGCUUUCGAGCUUUCGAGGUUUGUGGUUUUGGGGUACUUUAGGGUUUAUGGUUUAGGGGCUAAAGUUUAGGGUUUAUUGUUUACGGUUUACGGUUUUUAGGGAUUUAGGGUUUCGUGUUUUAGGUUUCGGGGUUUAAGAUGUAUGGAUCGAUUUGGGGUUUGUGAUUUCAGGCUCCGGGGUGGAGCGUUUGAGGUUUGAAGUUUGAGGUUUCGAGGUUUUGGGUUUAGAAGUUUUGGGGUUUGGGGGUUUGGAUUUUAGGGUUUCAGGUUUCGGGGUUUAGGGUGCAUGGAUCGGUUCGAGGUUCGUGAUUUCGAGCAUCGGGAUGGAGCGUUUGGAGUUUCAAGUUUUGGGUUUAGGAGUUUUGGGGUUUGAAGGUUUGGGGGUUUUGUGGUUCGUUUGUUGGGGUUCAAGGUUUCAAGGUUCUGUUUCAAGUUUCGGUUUCAGAGCAGAAGACAUGCAUCAAAAACCAAGGAGAGAGUAAAGAUCGUGCAAAACUAUAAGCAAGAAGAGGAAAAGGGAGCAUGCGAUCUUUUUAUAUUUUCUCUUCUAUAUGGUACUAUUUAAGAAAAGAUAAAUUCAAGAGAUAAGAAUAUGUAAAACUUUUAUUAUAUAUGUGUGUAUGGCUGCUAUUAUUGUAAAAAUAAAAAUAUGCUUUCAAUUGUUUAACUAACAAAAAUUUCAGCAAGGUUCAACUAAAGUUCCUA